rnacentral:rRNA from 1 species
UACAGGGGGGGCAAGCGUUGUUCGGAAUUACUGGGCGUAAAGGGCCAGUAGGCGGCCAACUAAGUCCGACGUGAAAUCCCCAGGCUUAACCUGGGAACUGCGUCGGAUACUGGAUGGCUUGAAUUCGGGAGAGGGAUGCAGAAUUCCAGGUGUAGCGGUGAAAUGCGUAGAUAUCUGGAGGAAUACCGGUGGCGAAGGCGGCAUCCUGGACCGACAUUGACGCUGAAAGGCGAAAGCUAGGGGAGCAAACGGG